rnacentral:rRNA from 1 species
CGAACGCUGGCGGCAGGCUUAACACAUGCAAGUCGAAGGUGAAGCGGGACUUCGGUCCCGUGGAAACUGGCGCACGGGUGAGUAACGCGUGGGAAUCUACCCCGGGGUGGGGAAUAACCAUUGGAAACGAUGGCUAAUACCGCAUACGCCUUUAGAGGGAAAGCUAUAUGCGCCCUGGGAUGAGCCCGCGUCGGAUUAGGUAGUUGGUGGGGUAAUGGCCUACCAAGCCGACGAUCCGUAGCUGGUCUGAGAGGAUGAUCAGCCACACUGGGACUGAGACACGGCCCAGACUCCUACGGGAGGCAGCAGUGGGGAAUAUUGGACAAUGGGGGAAACCCUGAUCCAGCCAUGCCGCGUGCGUGAAGAAGGCCUUAGGGUUGUAAAGCGCUUUCGGCGGGGAAGAUGAUGACGGUACCCGCAGAAGAAGCCCCGGCUAACUCCGU